CUUGCUGGGUGGAUCAGUGGCGAACGGGUGAGUAACACGUGAGCAACCUGCCCCUGACUCUGGGAUAAGCGCUGGAAACGGCGUCUAAUACCGGAUACGAGUAGUGACCGCAUGGUCAAUUACUGGAAAGAUUUUUCGGUUUGGGAUGGGCUCGCGGCCUAUCAGCUUGUUGGUGAGGUAAUGGCUCACCAAGGCGUCGACGGGUAGCCGGCCUGAGAGGGUGACCGGCCACACUGGGACUGAGACACGGCCCAGACUCCUACGGGAGGCAGCAGUGGGGAAUAUUGCACAAUGGGCGGAAGCCUGAUGCAGCAACGCCGCGUGAGGGAUGACGGCCUUCGGGUUGUAAACCUCUUUUAGCAGGGAAGAAGCGNNAGUGACGGUACCUGCAGAAAAAGCGCCGGCUAACUACGUGCCAGCAGCCGCGGUAAUACGUAGGGCGCAAGCGUUAUCCGGAAUUAUUGGGCGUAAAGAGCUCGUAGGCGGUCUGUCGCGUCUGCUGUGAAAUCCCGAGGCUCAACCUCGGGUCUGCAGUGGGUACGGGCAGACUAGAGUGCGGUAGGGGAGAUUGGAAUUCCUGGUGUAGCGGUGGAAUGCGCAGAUAUCAGGAGGAACACCGAUGGCGAAGGCAGAUCUCUGGGCCGUAACUGACGCUGAGGAGCGAAAGGGUGGGGAGCAAACAGGCUUAGAUACCCUGGUAGUCCACCCCGUAAACGUUGGGAACUAGUUGUGGGGUCCAUUCCACGGAUUCCGUGACGCAGCUAACGCAUUAAGUUCCCCGCCUGGGGAGUACGGCCGCAAGGCUAAAACUCAAAGGAAUUGACGGGGACCCGCACAAGCGGCGGAGCAUGCGGAUUAAUUCGAUGCAACGCGAAGAACCUUACCAAGGCUUGACAUAUAGAGGAAACGNCUGGAAACAGUCGCCCCGCAAGGUCUCUAUACAGGUGGUGCAUGGUUGUCGUCAGCUCGUGUCGUGAGAUGUUGGGUUAAGUCCCGCAACGAGCGCAACCCUCGUUCUAUGUUGCCAGCACGUAAUGGUGGGAACUCAUGGGAUACUGCCGGGGUCAACUCGGAGGAAGGUGGGGAUGACGUCAAAUCAUCAUGCCCCUUAUGUCUUGGGCUUCACGCAUGCUACAAUGGCCGGUACAAAGGGCUGCAAUACCGCGAGGUGGAGCGAAUCCCAAAAAGCCGGUCCCAGUUCGGAUUGAGGUCUGCAACUCGACCUCAUGAAGUCGGAGUCGCUAGUAAUCGCAGAUCAGCAACGCUGCGGUGAAUACGUUCCCGGGUCUUGUACACACCGCCCGUCAAGUCAUGAAAGUCGGUAACACCUGAAGCCGG
rnacentral:rRNA from 1 species